CAGUUGUGGGCUGCACCCUAGACAUCUUCACAGACCGGGGGCCAGGGGCCUUGGCAUCCAGGGAUCCUUGAAGGCUGGAGUCCAGGGAGGCCUCUUCCAGUAGAUGAAGCAGAUCUGGAUGCCUAUCCCGGCCCUGCCUUUUGUGAGCUGUGUCCGUGGGGUUCACCCGGGGAACCCAGGACUCGCAGAGCUGCCCAAUGUGCUGAGAUGAUCUUGGACCCAGCCAGAUACCCGUAUACCUGGGUAGACCACAGUCUUUCAGACAGCACCUUCGCUUCCAGACUAUGUGUCCCCGGCAAGGUUUGGGAGUCACCGAGAGUUACCGCUCAGAGAGACUUGGGAUCUAGAUGUGGUUCUCCACCAGCCCAGCUUUGCCAAGUGGCCUCACCUUACCAAGCCUCCGUUUGCCAGUUCUGUUUGGAAAACAGCAGUGUCUACCUGCGUCCUACCUCACAGGGUGACGAAAGGCUCGAGGGGAUGGAAGAGCUGUGAAAUGCCAACUCAGUCCAUUCCAGCUGAUUCUCACCUGAGGGAACUUCACAGUGACGGCUCCAGACUCUGCACAUGAGUUGUGCUAGGCUCUAGAACUUAGAGGUAGCGGGACCUACCCUCUGCCCCCAUGAGUCAGAGUCUGUCCUUAUUUCUAGAAGAGGAAUUCCAGUCUGUGUGGUUUUGUGCCUAUAUAGCAUGGAGUCUGUCUGCCUGUGAUUUUUUGACAGUGGGAAUUCUUAACCAUGCUUGCCUCCCUCCUCGCAAUGCUCUCACCCUUUCCCCACCCCCGCAUGCUUGCUCUGCAGAAAUGUAGAGUCGGGUGGGGUCGUAUGCCCUCCAGUCCCUAUGGCAGUUGAGGCCAAUGAGGCUCAGAGGAGUGAAUGACUCACCAAGACCCCAUGGCAAGAUGGUGGUUGAUGGGAGACCAAGUCCCCUACCCUUUUUUUUUUUCAAAUAGCUUAGCAGGAUUUAAUGUACCUUUGUUUUCAACACAUUCAUACUGAAUAAAUGAUAUUCAUUAAGCCAAAAAAAGGGGGGAAAUGGAGAAAUUUGUAUUGUU